GAUGAAGAACGCAGCGAAAUGCGAUACGUAAUGUGAAUUGCAGAAUUCAGUGAAUCAUCGAAUCUUUGAACGCAUAUUGCGCUCUCUGGUAUUCCGGAGAGCAUGCUUGUUUGAGUAUCAGUAAACACCUCAACUCCCUUUUCUUUUUUGAAAUUGGAGCUGGACUUGAGUGAUCCCAACGCUUUCUUCCAAGAAAGUGGCGGGUUGCCUGAAAUGCAGGUGCAGCUGAACUUUUCUCUGAGCUAUAAGCAUAUCUAUUUAGUCUGCCUAAAAAACAGAUUAUUACCUUUGCUGCAGCUAACAUAAAGGAGACUAGUUCUUGUGCUGACUGAUGCAGGAUUCACAGAGACAGCUUCGGCUGACUUUGUAAACUCGAUCUCAAAUCAAGUAAGACUACCCGCUGAACUUAAGCAUAUCAAUAAGCGGAGGA
rnacentral:misc_RNA from 1 species